UUGAAAUUGUAACUUCCCGUAUAGCAAAAAUCAAAUUUUUUUAUAUUCAGCAGAAACCAAUAUCGUAUCAUAUUUCACCAUCAUAUUUCAUUGAUCAGAUCCUUCGUUGGCAUUUCAGUAUUUGAACAGAAAACAUCAAUUUCCCAGAAUUUUGCAGGCAUCACUCGCAAAAAUGUUUCCAGGUUCAAUCAUUCAUUCGUAGACACUCAAAGCACAUCAAUAUUUUCCCGCAGGGCUCAGCUUGACUUUCACUUCGCUGCAAUUGGACAUCCAACCAAACCGCCAAUUAAAUUGCACCAAAAUACAACAAAGCAAACCACACUGCGGGACCUUCAGCCAUUGGCUUUUGGCGUCCCAUUGGCUCGCUUUGUAAUUUUCUCCAAUUCAAUCUGCUUCAUAUAUUUAUUUGUUACACAAUUCGACGCGCGGUCUACAAAAAUCUUUGCAAUUGCCAAACGCACAAUAAAUUAUAACACAUUUCCUCCGCAAGUUUUCCCCAAUUGCCAAAAGAAAGAGAAAUGAAAAUAAAUAAUAUGGGAAACCAAAGUUCUUCUGGCGUUGAGUGAGCCCACAAAUUGGACUGUCGGCUGGUGCCAAAGUCUUUUGCUGAACAAAAAAAAAGCUGAGACGCUUCGAGCAACAAUAAAAUCUCAAAUAUUGCCUACACAUAAACAAUUUAUACGAAAUGCUUGCAGGCACUCGAUUAAAUGCUUAAUUAGUGCGAAAAUGUAA